UGGGUUGUGGCUCAGCGGUAGAGCGCUUGACUAGCACGUGCGAGGCCCUGGGUUCGAUCCUCAGCACCACAU
rfam:Ictidomys tridecemlineatus contig031162, whole genome shotgun sequence.